GAAACACACACACACACACAUGCACGCAGACAGAAACACACACAGACACACUGACACACACACACACAUGCAUGCAGACAGAAACACACACACAUAUACACACACAUACACACACACACACACACACACACACACAUACACAUACACACGCAGACAGAAACACACACAGACACACACGCAGACAGAAACACACACACACACAUGCACGCAGACAGAAACACACACACACACAUGCACGCAGACAGAAACACACACACACACACACAUGCACGCAGACAGAAACACACACACACAUGCACGCAGACAGAAACACACACACAAAGACACACAGACACACAGACAGAAACACACACAUACAUAUACAUACACACACACAGACACACACACAGACACACACACAAGCAGGUAAGCAGGGAAUGUGGUGUUGUGGGGAAUGUGGUACUGUGGGGAAUGUGGUACUGUCGGGAAUGUGGUGUUGUGGGGAAUUUGGUACUGUAGAGAAAGUGGUAUUGUGGGGAAUGUGGUGUUGUGGGGAAUGUGGUACUGUAGAGAAGGUGGUAUUGUAGGGAAUGUGGUGUUGUGAGGAAUGUGUUAUCCAUAACAGAGAACAAGUUCAAGACCUCAGGGUCAAUCUCAUCCAACUGGUCAAUGGACAGGAAAUCAAAUCUCCAGCCAGCCACCUCAACAGGAAAUCAAAUCUCCAGCCAGCCACCUCAACAGGAAAUCAAACGUCCACCCAGCCAGCCACCUCAACAGGAAAUCAAACGUCCACCCAGCCACUUGAACAGGAAAUCAAACCUCCAGCCAGCCACCUCAACAGGAAAUCAAGCAUCUCAUCCAUACACCGGUUAAUGGGAACAUGUCAGACAACAUAGACAUACUGCUACCACAGUCAGAGAGUCAGUCCCUAUGUAAACUGAUGCAUGUUUAGUAUAGACAUUCUGCUACCACAGUCAGAGAGUCAGUCCGUAUGUAAACUGAUGCUGUUAAGGAUACUGUGGAUACGGCUGGGUUUCAGGUUCUUCCUGAAGUACAGCUGUUAGGUAUUAGGUCUGUCCAGUACUUAUGCAACUUUGAUUGAAUGCCUUUACCUGUACAGCACAGUAGAUCAUUCUGUAUGUUUACUAUAAACAUGUGUCACGUUCUGACCUUAGUUCUUUUGUUAUGUCUUUGUUUUAGGUUGGUCAGGGCGUGAGUUGGGGUGGGUUGUCUAUGUUCGUUUUUCUAUGAUUUGGUAUUUCUGUGUUUGUCCUGGUAUGGUUCUCAAUCAGAGGCAGCUGUCAAUCGUUGUCCCUGAUUGAGAACCAUAUUUAGGCAGCCUCUUUUCCCCCUUGAGUUGUGGGUGAUUGUUUUCUGUUGAGUGUUUUUUUUUUAAAUCUGUACCAGACAGAACUGUUUCGUUCAUUCACUUUGUUGUUUUUGUUCAGUGUUCAUUUACUUUAUUUAAAAGAUGGACACUUACCACGCUGCGCAUUGGUCCUCACCUUCUUCCACCACCAACGGCCGUUACAAUAUGGCUGGGAAUUUCCCUGAAGAAUAAGUGUUCUGGCAUUAAUAAGGCAGAGAAGUCUGCGAUUUGUUUGGAAUGUAACCCACCCUACAGUAAAAUGAUCUGGAUAAGAGUGUCUGCAAAAUGGCUGAAGAGUAAAUAGCGGACUUCACAUAAAACCAGUCUACUGUCAUGAAA
ensembl:lncRNA